rnacentral:lncRNA from 10 species
GCUGGGACUACAGGCGCCUAAUUUUCCAUAAAAUGUAUACCACCAAAAAGAAAAAUUCUGACUGCAGGGAAGCAGUACACUCUGUAGACCCCGGAGAAAAAUAAAUCACCAUGAGAUUUGACAACAAUCAAUUUUUCACUGCACGCUAAUCAAGCAGAUAGAAAGAAGGCCAUGGUUGCUUCAGAUGCCGGCUCCCUUUCUGCCAUGGAAGAAUACAGUGGUUUAGAAGAGUCUUCUUGGGUCCUGAAACAAGCUCCAAAACUUCCUAAUUCUAUGACGUUGAAUAAGACCUUUAACAUUCUGUGCCUCACUUUCUUCAUUUGUAAAAUGUGUACAUAAACAUUACCUCUCUCAUGUAAAGUUUAGACGAGAGUGUAAAAUGCUUAGAAUGGUACAUGGUUUGUAGAAGGAUUAUGUAAGUAUUUGUCAUUAUUGUUGCUUUUAUUAAUGCAAUUACAAUGAGAAAAAACACACGAACGUUGUGGGGGUGACACAACAUGUAAUAUAAGAAGCUCUUCCCUAGAGGGGGAGACAGAAGGAAUUUGAGUUGAAUACAAAGGAAGCGACAUAGGAAAUGACUCAGGGUUAAUUGGUUAUGGUAUCAGAUGAUUCUUUCUCCCAGUUGUGUGUUUGUGACCAGAGUAAAUCCAAGUUUUUAUCAUUAAAUUUUUCUAACUUAUUGCAUUUGUGGGUAUCACUUCCUGGAG